rnacentral:rRNA from 1 species
UAGGGAAUCUUCCGCAAUGGGCGAAAGCCUGACGGAGCAACGCCGCGUGAGUGAUGAAGGUCUUCGGAUCGUAAAACUCUGUUAUUAGGGAAGAACAAAUGUGUAAGUAACUAUGCACGUCUUGACGGUACCUAAUCAGAAAGCCACGGCUAACUACGUGCCAGCAGCCGCGGUAAUACGUAGGUGGCAAGCGUUAUCCGGAAUUAUUGGGCGUAAAGCGCGCGUAGGCGGUUUUUUAAGUCUGAUGUGAAAGCCCACGGCUCAACCGUGGAGGGUCAUUCGAAACUGGAAAACUUGAGUGCAGAAGAGGAGAGUGGAAUUCCAUGUGUAGCGGUGAAAUGCGCAGAACUAAGGAGGAACAACAGUGGCGGAGGCGACUUUCUGGUCUGUAACUGACGCUGAUGUGCGAAGGCGUGGGGAUCAAACAGG